ensembl:lncRNA
CCGCUGCACCUGGAUCCUGGAGCGCUACCACAGGAGGCUGGGAUGGGAGAGAUCGCUAAGGGGCUGUGAAUAGUGAGGGACAGCAGCUUAUCUCAGGAGCCUUUGAAAGAUGAAUGAGGAUGAGAACACAUGUGUCCUGGUGACUUGCGGGGUGUUCAUGAAGUACUGACAAAGAAAGAAAGCAAAUCCUACUGGCCUGCGCCACCAGUACCGGCGGCUGCCGGGGCUGUUCUGAAGAUACUUCACUAUGACUUUGAUGGCGUCACUAGCCCUGCCCACGGAGGAGAAGCCUUGGCUGCAGCACUAAGCCUCACCUUCCUUCAACCCAAACCCGAGUACUACUCAGGCCUCACGCACACUCCCGACCUCACGUCCACCUCCCCUUUCCCUAAGGAAUCACAGCCUUACAAGCCCCGAAGGCGCUUCUCGAUCCUCCGUCCCCUGCCGGUCAUUCCGGGAAACACACUCCCGUCAGGCAGCUCCUGAGCCUAGUGGCCCCCGCUCUGCGAUCAGUCUCAACUGUGACUACUGUAAAACAUGUUCAAGAUUGAUGCAGCCUCUUUUGCCUAUUUCGUGUCUGUUGACAGUGCUUUCGAUGUCACAACCAAGAAGUCAUCAAAUACAAUGUCAUAAGGCAGUAAGACCUAAACCGGUCAUCCAGUUUUCCCAUCAUUCGCCCAUCACUCAAUAGACUGUCGUCAUCGUCUUCCCCCACGGCCCCGCCCCCCCAUGGUGUGGUUUGCCACCAUGCCUGCUUGCAGACUCUGCCCUGCUAUAAUGGAUUCUAAUCUUUUGGAAGUAUAAGUCAAAAUUAACCCUAUCUUUUAUAGAUGUGAUGUUUCAUCCCAGCAACAGAAAAGGCUGAAAUCAGCUUUCUUGUCUGUCAGAAGGUUUAGUAAGCUGAGUCAAAGAAAUGUGGAAGGCCAACAGGAGGUCAUACACGAAGGACAUGGAUGAGACGAGACAAGAAGCUCUAUCAGAAGGGCAUGGAUGAGAAGAGACUCUGAAAGACCCCCGAGUGGGGAGACCCUCACUCAAGUCUCGGGAUGACAUGACCCCCCAAGAACUCACGGGGUCUGAAUUUUCCUGGUCCUUCAACUCUAUCGGAAGAUACGAACGCAGCUGUCCUGAAGCACUGUCCCACUCUGCACUCUGAGCUCCUGGACUUCCGAUCUGAUAUGUCUCCCAGGUGUGGCAAGCAUGUGGAUUCUCCUGGUCUUUUCGUGCCAUUUGGUAGUGUUCCCAUGAAGCCUUUAUUUUCACAGGGAUGACCUCUCCUACAAGGGGAGAAAACCUGCUUGUCAUGGGUUGAAAAUGUUGCUUUUUUUCUUCUCCAUGUGUAAGCAUUGCUCUAUGCAGAGCACAUUAAAUAGUCACGGGUCUAUCUCCGUGACGUUGACAUUUGGGUACGACAACUACAACAAACAACUAAAAGGCAUGAAGACACUACUAUAUAAAAUGGUUGAG